UUAAGCGACUAAGCGUACACGGUGGAUGCCCUGGCAGUCAGAGGCGAUGAAGGACGUGCUAAUCUGCGAUAAGCGUCGGUAAGGUGAUAUGAACCGUUAUAACCGGCGAUUUCCGAAUGGGGAAACCCAGUGUGUUUCGACACACUAUCAUUAACUGAAUCCAUAGGUUAAUGAGGCGAACCGGGGGAACUGAAACAUCUAAGUACCCCGAGGAAAAGAAAUCAACCGAGAUUCCCCCAGUAGCGGCGAGCGAACGGGGAGCAGCCCAGAGCCUGAAUCAGUGUGUGUGUUAGUGGAAGCGUCUGGAAAGGCGCGCGAUACAGGGUGACAGCCCCGUACACAAAAAUGCACAUAUUGUGAGCUCGAUGAGUAGGGCGGGACACGUGGUAUCCUGUCUGAAUAUGGGGGGACCAUCCUCCAAGGCUAAAUACUCCUGACUGACCGAUAGUGAACCAGUACCGUGAGGGAAAGGCGAAAAGAACCCCGGCGAGGGGAGUGAAAAAGAACCUGAAACCGUGUACGUACAAGCAGUGGGAGCACGCUUUAGGGGGUGACUGCGUACCUUUUGUAUAAUGGGUCAGCGACUUAUAUUCUGUAGCAAGGUUAACCGAAUAGGGGAGCCGAAGGGAAACCGAGUCUUAACUGGGCGUUAAGUUGCAGGGUAUAGACCCGAAACCCGGUGAUCUAGCCAUGGGCAGGUUGAAGGUUGGGUAACACUAACUGGAGGACCGAACCGACUAAUGUUGAAAAAUUAGCGGAUGACUUGUGGCUGGGGGUGAAAGGCCAAUCAAACCGGGAGAUAGCUGGUUCUCCCCGAAAGCUAUUUAGGUAGCGCCUCGUGAAUUCAUCUCCGGGGGUAGAGCACUGUUUCGGCAAGGGGGUCAUCCCGACUUACCAACCCGAUGCAAACUGCGAAUACCGGAGAAUGUUAUCACGGGAGACACACGGCGGGUGCUAACGUCCGUCGUGAAGAGGGAAACAACCCAGACCGCCAGCUAAGGUCCCAAAGUCAUGGUUAAGUGGGAAACGAUGUGGGAAGGCCCAGACAGCCAGGAUGUUGGCUUAGAAGCAGCCAUCAUUUAAAGAAAGCGUAAUAGCUCACUGGUCGAGUCGGCCUGCGCGGAAGAUGUAACGGGGCUAAACCAUGCACCGAAGCUGCGGCAGCGACGCUUAUGCGUUGUUGGGUAGGGGAGCGUUCUGUAAGCCUGCGAAGGUGUGCUGUGAGGCAUGCUGGAGGUAUCAGAAGUGCGAAUGCUGACAUAAGUAACGAUAAAGCGGGUGAAAAGCCCGCUCGCCGGAAGACCAAGGGUUCCUGUCCAACGUUAAUCGGGGCAGGGUGAGUCGACCCCUAAGGCGAGGCCGAAAGGCGUAGUCGAUGGGAAACAGGUUAAUAUUCCUGUACUUGGUGUUACUGCGAAGGGGGGACGGAGAAGGCUAUGUUGGCCGGGCGACGGUUGUCCCGGUUUAAGCGUGUAGGCUGGUUUUCCAGGCAAAUCCGGAAAAUCAAGGCUGAGGCGUGAUGACGAGGCACUACGGUGCUGAAGCAACAAAUGCCCUGCUUCCAGGAAAAGCCUCUAAGCAUCAGGUAACAUCAAAUCGUACCCCAAACCGACACAGGUGGUCAGGUAGAGAAUACCAAGGCGCUUGAGAGAACUCGGGUGAAGGAACUAGGCAAAAUGGUGCCGUAACUUCGGGAGAAGGCACGCUGAUAUGUAGGUGAAGCGACUUGCUCGUGGAGCUGAAAUCAGUCGAAGAUACCAGCUGGCUGCAACUGUUUAUUAAAAACACAGCACUGUGCAAACACGAAAGUGGACGUAUACGGUGUGACGCCUGCCCGGUGCCGGAAGGUUAAUUGAUGGGGUCAGCGCAAGCGAAGCUCUUGAUCGAAGCCCCGGUAAACGGCGGCCGUAACUAUAACGGUCCUAAGGUAGCGAAAUUCCUUGUCGGGUAAGUUCCGACCUGCACGAAUGGCGUAAUGAUGGCCAGGCUGUCUCCACCCGAGACUCAGUGAAAUUGAACUCGCUGUGAAGAUGCAGUGUACCCGCGGCAAGACGGAAAGACCCCGUGAACCUUUACUAUAGCUUGACACUGAACAUUGAGCCUUGAUGUGUAGGAUAGGUGGGAGGCUUUGAAGUGUGGACGCCAGUCUGCAUGGAGCCGACCUUGAAAUACCACCCUUUAAUGUUUGAUGUUCUAACGUUGGCCCCUAAUCGGGGUUGCGGACAGUGUCUGGUGGGUAGUUUGACUGGGGCGGUCUCCUCCUAAAGAGUAACGGAGGAGCACGAAGGUUGGCUAAUCCUGGUCGGACAUCAGGAGGUUAGUGCAAUGGCAUAAGCCAGCUUGACUGCGAGCGUGACGGCGCGAGCAGGUGCGAAAGCAGGUCAUAGUGAUCCGGUGGUUCUGAAUGGAAGGGCCAUCGCUCAACGGAUAAAAGGUACUCCGGGGAUAACAGGCUGAUACCGCCCAAGAGUUCAUAUCGACGGCGGUGUUUGGCACCUCGAUGUCGGCUCAUCACAUCCUGGGGCUGAAGUAGGUCCCAAGGGUAUGGCUGUUCGCCAUUUAAAGUGGUACGCGAGCUGGGUUUAGAACGUCGUGAGACAGUUCGGUCCCUAUCUGCCGUGGGCGCUGGAGAACUGAGGGGGGCUGCUCCUAGUACGAGAGGACCGGAGUGGACGCAUCACUGGUGUUCGGGUUGUCAUGCCAAUGGCACUGCCCGGUAGCUAAAUGCGGAAGAGAUAAGUGCUGAAAGCAUCUAAGCACGAAACUUGCCCCGAGAUGAGUUCUCCCUGACUCCUUGAGAGUCCUGAAGGAACGUUGAAGACGACGACGUUGAUAGGCCGGGUGUGUAAGCGCAGCGAUGCGUUGAGCUAACCGGUACUAAUGAACCGUGAGGCUUAACCUU
rnacentral:rRNA from 1 species